UACGUAGGUGGCAAGCGUUGUCCGGAUUUACUGGGCGUAAAGAGCGCGCAGGCGGUCGUUCAAGUCGCGUGUGAAAGCCCCCGGCUCAACUGGGGAGGGUCACGCGAUACUGCUCGACUUGAAGGCAGGAGAGGGAAGUGGAAUUCCCGGUGUAGUGGUGAAAUGCGUAGAUAUCGGGAGGAACACCAGUGGCGAAGGCGACUUCCUGGCCUGUUCUUGACGCUGAGGAGCGAAAGCCAGGGGAGCAAACGGG
rnacentral:rRNA from 1 species